GAUGAACGCUGGCGGUAUGCUUAACACAUGCAAGUCGAACGGACUCUUCGGAGUUAGUGGCGGACGGGUGAGUCACGCGUGAGAAUCUGGACUUGGGUUCGGGACAACCACUGGAAACGGUGGCUAAUACCGGAUGUGCCGAGAGGUAAAAGAGAAAUUGCAUGAAGAUGAGCUCGCGUCUGAUUAGCUAGUUGGUGAGGUAAAGGCUCACCAAGGCAGCGAUCAGUAGCUGGUCUGAGAGGAUGACCAGCCACACUGGGACUGAGACACGGCCCAGACUCCUACUGGAGGCAGCAGUGGGGAAUGUUCCGCAAUGGGCGAGAGACUGACGGAGCAAUACCGCGUGAGGGAAGAAGGCUCUUGGGUUGUAAACCUCUUUACUUAGGGAAGAACAAAAUGACGGUACCUAAUGAGUCAGCAUCGGCUAACUCCGUG
rnacentral:rRNA from 1 species